rnacentral:rRNA from 1 species
GAUGCUGACGAGUGGCGAACGGGUGAGUAAUACAUCGGAACGUGCCCAAUCGUGGGGGAUAGCUCGGCGAAAGCCGGAUUAAUACCGCAUACGAUCUACGGAUGAAAGCAGGGGAUCGCAAGACCUUGCGCGACUGGAGCGGCCGAUGGCAGAUUAGGUAGUUGGUGGGGUAAAGGCUCACCAAGCCGACGAUCUGUAGCUGGUCUGAGAGGACGACCAGCCACACUGGGACUGAGACACGGCCCAGACUCCUACGGGAGGCAGCAGUGGGGAAUUUUGGACAAUGGGCGCAAGCCUGAUCCAGCAAUGCCGCGUGCAGGAUGAAGGCCUUCGGGUUGUAAACUGCUUUUGUACGGAACGAAAAGGCUCUGGCUAAUACCCGGGGCUCAUGACGGUACCGUAAGAAUAAGCACCGGCUAACUACGUGCCAGCAGCCGCGGUAAUACGUAGGGUGCGAGCGUUAAUCGGAAUUACUGGGCGUAAAGCGUGCGCAGGCGGUGAUGUAAGACAGUUGUGAAAUCCCCGGGCUCAACCUGGGAACUGCAUCUGUGACUGCAUCGCUGGAGUGCGGCAGAGGGGGAUGGAAUUCCGCGUGUAGCAGUGAAAUGCGUAGAUAUGCGGAGGAACACCGAUGGCGAAGGCAAUCCCCUGGGCCUGCACUGACGCUCAUGCACGAAAGCGUGGGGAGCAAACAGGAUUAGAUACCCUGGUAGUCCACGCCCUAAACGAUGUCAACUGGUUGUUGGGAAUUUGCUUUCUCAGUAACGAAGCUAACGCGUGAAGUUGACCGCCUGGGGAGU